rnacentral:rRNA from 1 species
GACGAACGCUGGCGGCGUGCCUAAUACAUGCAAGUCGUACGCAUUGACGAUGGAACUUGUUCCGUCUGACGUGAGUGGCGCACGGGUGAGUAACACGUGGGAAACCUACCCUUCAGCGGGGGAUAACCGUCGGAAACGAUGGCUAAUACCGCAUAGGUCUUUGAGUCACCUGGCUUAAAGAGGAAAGACGGCUUCGGCUGUCACUGAAGGAUGGUCCCGCGGUGCAUUAGCUAGUUGGUAAGGUAAUGGCUUACCAAGGCAAUGAUGCAUAGCCGACCUGAGAGGGUGAUCGGCCACAUUGGGACUGAGACACGGCCCAA